AAAUUGAAGAGUUUGAUCAUGGCUCAGAUUGAACGCUGGCGGCAGGCCUAACACAUGCAAGUCGAGCGGUAGCACAGAGAGCUUGCUCUCGGGUGACGAGCGGCGGACGGGUGAGUAAUGUCUGGGAAACUGCCUGAUGGAGGGGGAUAACUACUGGAAACGGUAGCUAAUACCGCAUAACGUCGCAAGACCAAAGUGGGGGACCUUCGGGCCUCAUGCCAUCAGAUGUGCCCAGAUGGGAUUAGCUAGUAGGUGGGGUAACGGCUCACCUAGGCGACGAUCCCUAGCUGGUCUGAGAGGAUGACCAGCCACACUGGAACUGAGACACGGUCCAGACUCCUACGGGAGGCAGCAGUGGGGAAUAUUGCACAAUGGGCGCAAGCCUGAUGCAGCCAUGCCGCGUGUGUGAAGAAGGCCUUCGGGUUGUAAAGCACUUUCAGCGGGGAGGAAGGCGUUAAGGUUAAUAACCUUGUCGAUUGACGUUACCCGCAGAAGAAGCACCGGCUAACUCCGUGCCAGCAGCCGCGGUAAUACGGAGGGUGCAAGCGUUAAUCGGAAUUACUGGGCGUAAAGCGCACGCAGGCGGUCUGUCAAGUCGG
rnacentral:rRNA from 1 species